UACGUAGGGUCCAAGCGUUGUCCGGAAUCAUUGGGCGUAAAGAGCGUGUAGGCGGCCCGAUAAGUCCGCUGUGAAAGUCCAGGGCUCAACCCUGGGAUGCCGGUGGAUACUGUCGGGCUCGAGUCCGGAAGAGGAGUGUGGAAUUCCUGGUGUAGCGGUGAAAUGCGCAGAUAUCAGAAGGAACAUCAGUGGCGAAGGCGGCUUCCUGGACCAAUACUGACGAUCAGGUGCGAAAGCGUGGGGAGCAAACAGG
rnacentral:rRNA from 1 species